CCUACGGGAGGCAGCAGUAGGGAAUCUUCCACAAUGGGCGAAAGCCUGAUGGAGCAACGCCGCGUGGGUGAAGAAGGUCUUCGGAUCGUAAAACCCUGUUGUUAGAGAAGAAAGUGCGUGAGAUUAACUGUUCACGUUUCGACGGUAUCUAACCAGAAAGCCACGGCUAACUACGUGCCAGCAGCCGCGGUAAUACGUAGGUGGCAAGCGUUAUCCGGAGUUAUUGGGCGUAAAGGGAACGCAGGCGGGCUUUUAAGGCUGAUGUGAAAGCCUUCGGCUUAACCGGAGUAGUGCAUUGGAAACUGGGAGACGUGAGUGCAGAAGAGGAGAGUGGAACUCGAUGUGUAGCGGUGAAAUGCGUAGAUAUAUGGAAGAACACCAGUGGCGAAAGCGGCUCUCUGGUCUGUAACUGACGCUGAGGUUCGAAAGCGUGGGUAGCAAACAGGAUUAGAUACCCCUGUAGUC
rnacentral:rRNA from 1 species